AACGAACGCUGGCGGCAGGCUUAACACAUGCAAGUCGAGCGCCCCGCAAGGGGAGCGGCAGACGGGUGAGUAACGCGUGGGAAUCUACCCAUCCCUACGGAACAACUCCGGGAAACUGGAGCUAAUACCGUAUACGCCCUUAGGGGGAAAGAUUUAUCGGGGAUGGAUGAGCCCGCGUUGGAUUAGCUAGUUGGUGGGGUAAUGGCCUACCAAGGCAACGAUCCAUAGCUGGUCUGAGAGGAUGAUCAGCCACACUGGGACUGAGACACGGCCCAGACUCCUACGGGAGGCAGCAGUGGGGAAUAUUGGACAA
rnacentral:rRNA from 1 species